AUUGAACGCUGGCGGCAUGCCUUACACAUGCAAGUCGAACGGCAGCACGGGAGCAAUCCUGGUGGCGAGUGGCGAACGGAUGAGUAAUAUAUCGGAACGUGCCCAGUCGUGGGGGAUAACGUAGCGAAAGCUACGCUAAUACCGCAUACGAUCUAUGGAUGAAAGCGGGGGAUCGCAAGACCUCGCGCGAUUGGAGCGGCCGAUAUCAGAUUAGGUAGUUGGUGAGGUAAAGGCUCACCAAGCCGACGAUCUGUAGCUGGUCUGAGAGGACGACCAGCCACACUGGGACUGAGACACGGCCCAGACUCCUACGGGAGGCAGCAGUGGGGAAUUUUGGGACAAUGGGCGCAAGCCUGAUCCAGCAAUGCCGCGUGCAGGAUGAAGGCCUC
rnacentral:rRNA from 1 species